rnacentral:rRNA from 1 species
GAUGAACGCUAGCUACAGGCUUAACACAUGCAAGUCGAGGGGCAGCAUGGUCUUAGCUUGCUAAGGCUGAUGGCGACCGGCGCACGGGUGAGUAACACGUAUCCAACCUGCCGUCUACUCUUGGCCAGCCUUCUGAAAGGAAGAUUAAUCCAGGAUGGCAUCAUGAGUUCACAUGUCCGCAUGAUUAAAGGUAUUUUCCGGUAGACGAUGGGGAUGCGUUCCAUUAGAUAGUAGGCGGGGUAACGGCCCACCUAGUCAACGAUGGAUAGGGGUUCUGAGAGGAAGGUCCCCCACAUUGGAACUGAGACACGGUCCAAACUCCUACGGGAGGCAGCAGUGAGGAAUAUUGGUCAAUGGGCGAUGGCCUGAACCAGCCAAGUAGCGUGAAGGAUGACUGCCCUAUGGGUUGUAAACUUCUUUUAUAAAGGAAUAAAGUCGGGUAUGCAUACCCGUUUGCAUGUACUUUAUGAAUAAGGAUCGGCUAACUCCGUG